rnacentral:rRNA from 1 species
AUUGAACGCUGGCGGCAGGCCUAACACAUGCAAGUCGAACGAGUGGCGGACGGGUGAGUAAUGUCUGGGAAACUGCCCGAUGGAGGGGGAUAACUACUGGAAAAGGUAGCUAAUACCGCCUACCAUCGGAUGUGCCCAGAUGGGAUUAGCUAGUAGGUGGGGUAACGGCUUACCUAGGCGACGAUCCCUAGCUGGUCCGAGAGGAUGACCAGCCAAACUGGAACUGAGACACGGGCCAGACUCCUACGGGAGGCAGCAGUGGGGAAUAUUGCACAAUGGGCGCAAGCCUGAUGGAGCCAUGCCGCGUGUAUGAAGAAGGCCUUCGGGUUGUAAAGGACUUUCAGCGAGGAGGCGUUACUCGCAGAAGAAGCACCGGCUAACUCCGUGCCAGCAGCCGCGGUAAUAC